CGAUUCCCUUAGUAGCGGCGAGCGAAAUGGGAAGAGCCCAAACCAACAAGCUUGCUUGUUGGGGUUGUAGGACACUCUAUACGGAGUUACAAAGGACGACAUUAGACGAAUCAUCUGGAAAGAUGAAUCAAAGAAGGUAAUAAUCCUGUAGUCGAAAAUGUUGUCUCUCUUGAGUGGAUCCUGAGUACGACGGAGCACGUGAAAUUCCGUCGGAAUCUGGGAGGACCAUCUCCUAAGGCUAAAUACUCUCUAGUGACCGAUAGUGAACCAGUACCGUGAGGGAAAGGUGAAAAGCACCCCGGAAGGGGAGUGAAAUAGAACCUGAAACCGUGUGCUUACAAGUAGUCAGAGCCCGUUAAUGGGUGAUGGCGUGCCUUUUGUAGAAUGAACCGGCGAGUUACGAUUUGAUGCAAGGUUAAGCAGUAAAUGUGGAGCCGUAGCGAAAGCGAGUCUGAAUAGGGCGUUUAGUAUUUGGUCGUAGACCCGAAACCAGGUGAUCUACCCUUGGUCAGGUUGAAGUUCAGGUAACACUGAAUGGAGGACCGAACCGACUUACGUUGAAAAGUGAGCGGAUGAACUGAGGGUAGCGGAGAAAUUCCAAUCGAACCUGGAGAUAGCUGGUUCUCUCCGAAAUAGCUUUAGGGCUAGCCUCAAGUGAUGAUUAUUGGAGGUAGAGCACUGUUUGGACGAGGGGCCCCUCUCGGGUUACCGAAUUCAGACAAACUCCGAAUGCCAAUUAAUUUAACUUGGGAGUCAGAACAUGGGUGAUAAGGUCCGUGUUCGAAAGGGAAACAGCCCAGACCACCAGCUAAGGUCCCAAAAUAUAUGUUAAGUGGAAAAGGAUGUGGCGUUGCCCAGACAACUAGGAUGUUGGCUUAGAAGCAGCCAUCAUUUAAAGAGUGCGUAAUAGCUCACUAGUCGAGUGACACUGCGCCGAAAAUGUACCGGGGCUAAACAUAUUACCGAAGCUGUGGAUUGUCCUUUGGACAAUGGUAGGAGAGCGUUCUAAGGGCGUUGAAGCAU
rnacentral:rRNA from 1 species